UGGAGCGUCGCCAAGCGGUAAGGCAUCGGUUUUUGGUACCGAUAUUCCCAGGUUCGAACCCUGGCGCCGCAGCCA
rnacentral:tRNA from 1 species